UGAUUUAAAAAAGAAGUGAUGUUCAACUCCACCAAUUGAACUCCAUCAAACUGCAAUUAUCACCACGAGUUACAAACUGCAAUUAUCACCACUAGUCACAAACUGCAAACUGCAAACUGCCACCAACCAUACCUCCGUAAUUUAUCUCUCCGGUGAACUCCACUAAAACCCCCACUAACCAAGCCUUUACCAACCAUGUCUUCACCAAUCCCUUUAUUUUCCCACCCAUGAAAACCCUAUAACUCCAACUACAAAUCCACCAACCCAAGAAUUGAAAUUAUGUUGUUUUCGAAUACCUCAGUUAGGGUUUUGUUUUUCCUCAAUUCAAGUGCUUUAGUUUGAGAAUGAAGGAGGUGUUGAUCUUGUGAGCUGCUGGGAACUGGUAUCUUGGGCAUAGGUUGCUGCUGCAACUAGUGUGAAGAUGGUUUGGUAGCAACUGUAGCAGGCUGUUAGUCUAUGAGGCCUAUGAAACUGUUGAGCCUGCUGAUCGCUGCUUUUUGGGUGCUGAUCUAAUGUUGUUGUACUACUGCUGUCGUACUAAUUCUACUACGGAUAUUUGUUUUGCUGAUCAAGAUAUCCAGUUUCGUGACAUAGGUACUGAUCUGAUGAUCUCCAUCUGUCCACACUACUGCAUAGAGCUUUGAAGAUAUUUGAUGGUGGUGAGUCAAAUCAUGGGUUUAUGGGUCAACGAAGACUGAUGGAUUUGGGGCAUUUUCAAGGCAAAAAAUAUGUCAUAUUUUUUGGAACGAUAAUAGACGUUGCUAAAAAUAGUAAUAACAAAUAUCAUAUAAUUUUUUUCCUGCCAAAAUGCAAAAGCUUUGGCAACCACUUUGUUUCGUUGCAAAAAAGGUUGUAGAAAUUGCAACAAUAUUGCUUUUGCAAUAAUAAAAGUCAUUGGGAAAAAUUGCAUCAUUUUUUUAACUACCUAAGUCGUUGCUAAAAUCUUUAGCUAGAAGUCAUUGCAAAAAACAUUUUUAACAACGAAAUAUGGUUUUUAGCAACAAUUUUUUUUGUUGCUAAAAAUGAAUUUUCUUAGUAAUAUAUACAUGGUGAAAACAAUAAAUUAAAACCCUAGGAUGAAACUGAGCAUGGUAAAAGAUGAUGAUAAUAAUACUUGCAAGGAAAAACUAUAAAUAAGAUAUGAAAUACACAAUUAAAGAAUUAAGAGAGACAAAUUAUGAGGAACAAUACUAUU